rnacentral:rRNA from 1 species
AUUGAACGCUGGCGGCAGGCCUAACACAUGCAAGUCGAGCGAGCGGCGGACGGGUGAGUAAUGUAUGGGGACUGCCCGAUAGAGGGGGAGAACUACUGGAAACGGUGGCUAAUACCGCAUACUGUCGGAGUACCCAUAUGGGAUUAGCUAGUGGGUAAGGUAAUGGCUGACCUAGGCGACGAUCCCUAGCUGGUCUGAGAGGAUGAUCAGCCACACUGGAACUGAGACACGGCCCAGACUCCUACGGAGUCAGCAGUGGGGAAUAUUGCACAAUGGGCGCAAGCCUGAUGCAGCCAUGCCGCGUGUAUGAAGAAGGCCCUAGGGUUGUAAAGUACUUUCAGUCGGGAGGCGUUACCGACAGAAGAAGCACCGGCUAACUCCGUGCCAGCAGCCGCGGUAAUUC